rnacentral:rRNA from 1 species
UACGUAGGGCGCAAGCGUUGUCCGGAAUUAUUGGGCGUAAAGGGCUCGUAGGCGGUUUGUCGCGUCGGGAGUGAAAACCAGGUGCUUAACACCUGGCUUGCUUUCGAUACGGGCAGACUAGGGGUAUGCAGGGGAGAACGGAAUUCCUGGUGUAGCGGUGAAAUGCGCAGAUAUCAGGAGGAACACCGGUGGCGAAGGCGGUUCUCUGGGCAUGACCUGACGCUGAGGAGCGAAAGUGUGGGGAGCGAACAGG